UGGGGAAUUUUGGACAAUGGGGGCAACCCUGAUCCAGCCAUGCCGCGUGAGUGAAGAAGGCCUUCGGGUUGUAAAGCUCUCUCAGUGGGAACGAAACGGCGGCUCUAACAUAGCCUGUUAAUGACGGUACCCACAGAAGAAGCACCGGCUAACUACGUGCCAGCAGCCGCGGUAAUACGUAGGGUGCGAGCGUUAAAUCGGAAUUACUGGGCGUAAAGCGUGCGCAGGCGGUUUCGCAAGCUAGGCGUGAAAGCCCCGGGCUUAACCUGGGAAUGGCGCUUAGGACUGCGAAGGCUAGAGUACGGCAGAGGGAGGUAGAAUUCCACGUGUAGCAGUGAAAUGCGUAGAGAGUGGAGGAAUACCGAUGGCGAAGGCAGCCUCCUGGG
rnacentral:rRNA from 1 species